GUACACUCCUACGGGAGGCAGCAGUGGGGAAUUUUGGACAAUGGGCGAAAGCCUGAUCCAGCAAUGCCGCGUGAGUGAAGAAGGCCUUCGGGUUGUAAAGCUCUUUUGUCAGGGAAGAAACGGUGAGAGCUAAUAUCUCUUGCUAAUGACGGUACCUGAAGAAUAAGCACCGGCUAACUACGUGCCAGCAGCCGCGGUAAUACGUAGGGUGCAAGCGUUAAUCGGAAUUACUGGGCGUAAAGCGUGCGCAGGCGGUUUUGUAAGUCUGAUGUGAAAUCCCCGGGCUCAACCUGGGAAUUGCAUUGGAGACUGCAAGGCUAGAAUCUGGCAGAGGGGGGUAGAAUUCCACGUGUAGCAGUGAAAUGCGUAGAUAUGUGGAGGAACACCGAUGGCGAAGGCAGCCCCCUGGGUCAAGAUUGACGCUCAUGCACGAAAGCGUGGGGAGCAAACAGGAUUAGAUACCCCUGUAGUCCCA
rnacentral:rRNA from 1 species